ensembl:lncRNA
AGGGCAAUUUUGGAAACUGGAAGUCUAAUGUUUGAAGGUGUGGAAAGGUUCAAGAGGAGACUGUUUGCACACGAUAGUGGCAACACAGGUCAGUGUCACAGACUGGAAGGUUCGCUAUCAGCCCCUAUCACUUUCUAGCCAUCUAACCUCUGCAAAACUUCUGUGCUGUUCAGAGAACGGUAACCAUGGUUCAGACUUGUGCGUACUAACACUGAUACUUGACAAGGGCUUCGCACAAUGCGUGUAGAACAGAGUUGUCCUGGGGGUGGGAGGGGGAGUAGAGCUUACUGUAUGAGUAGACCCAAGGAAGGUCCUGCCUCCGUUAGAGAUGCAGCGAGAAAAGUGAGCAAUAAACAAAACAGCUUUCUUCUAGUACUGCUACAGAGCUCUCAGCGUAGGAACGGGUGAACACAGGCCUUGGUGCUUCCAGAAUUGCUUCUCACCAGGACUCGAAUCCAGAGAGUGGGCCAGCUUAGGCCUUCUUCAGAACCCCAAAGAGGCAUGUUGUGACAGUAAAACCGUGGGGGCCUGGCGAGACUGCCCCUGGCCGACUCCGCCCCCACUUCCGGGCUCUCGCUCCGCCCCCUUCCCGCCCAAGUCCGGCCUGGCGAAGCUGUCCAAGCACCAAACUUCACCCGGCCGAGGUGUCAUGCGCAUGCGCUCUUCUUCCCGCGCGGCUCGACGUGACGCGAGCUCCGGCUUUCCGCCACACCGCCCCGCCCCUUCUUGCCCAGCCUUUACUCUUGUCCCCAUGUCCUUUCUCACCCGCACUCUGUCCUGCCCACACCUCUUCUCCAGUUCUGUGAAUAGUAACUGCAGAACAACCUCAAGUCCUGCAGAGUCACGUUCCGUGCUCCCUUGGUGGCGAUGGUGAUAGGCGGGGGGCGAUAAGGCGGGAUGACGGGAGGUGGCAGUUGCCGCGGACCCACUUCCGGAGGACGGGCGGAAGUGGCUGCGGUAGAUGGUGGGAGGGGGAAAGGAGUGCGAGGGGAGGGCCGGGCGCCGGGGGUCGAGGGGGUGGGGCCUGGGCCGGUAGUGGGGACCCAGCCUGGGGCCUGGAGUUCGACCAGGGGCGGGCUGCGGAUACCUGCCGAGUUUGGGUGGGCGGGACCCAGGUUAACACAGAAAUCAGCUUCAAGGGCCAUGCCGGUUCUAAGGCCUGUUUCCUCUCAUGAGCUUCAACAGAAGACGGACUCUCCAGCCCUCACAGUGGAUGACUUUCCUUCCCUGAACAGGAGAUGGGAUAGUACCUGGGAUCUGCCUAUCACCAGACUUUGGGCAUAAUAAACCAGCUGAAUGAAGGGAUGUAAUAGACCUCUGGGAGGGACACUGAAGCCUGCAGGGGGGGGAGGGACCUGGACAUACUCCUUCCCCCCCAGACUCCUCCCAUUCAGAGUCCACUUAGCCAUGGACUUUGGACCUGGACCAGAGGAGAGAAGCUGCACUUCGGUGUUUCUGAUCUGGGAUUCUCAGUUUUGGAAAUGGAGUACUGGAUGGGGGUUUGAUGAUCUUCAGGGGAGCAGCUGAGAGAAGAAAGGUAAGGUUCCUGUCUCAUUUCCCACUUGGUGUCUUGCUGCUCCUGUGCAGAUAGUGUUGAGUAGGGCGAGUCCGGGACACUGCCAUUCAGAAAAUGCCCUGAUGAGAACUCUUACCCUGAUGGGUACACAGAAAACUUCACUUCUCCUUCCCUCUCAGAGUGCAGGCUUGUUCCCAGUAUCUCCUUACCCAGACAGAGUACCUUGAAAGCAGUUGUGAGCAAUGUCAGUUGUGAGGUUAGACCAUGGAGAACAUAAAAAGACUUUAGGCCUCUGAAGGGAGGUUGUAUUAGAUUACUUGUAAAGGCCUUUUCCACACUGGGGUAAUAGGAUUCCAAGUCAGUUUGGGCUAAGUACAACUCUGGAAUGGAUUAUCCAGGCUGAGGCAGGCUGCUGUGUUUUGGAGAACUAACUAAAUAGAGCUACCUUGGGUGGGGG